rnacentral:rRNA from 1 species
CAGUAGCCGCGGGAAUACGAAGGGGGCUAGCGUUGUUCGGAAUUACUGGGCGUAAAGGGCGCGUAGGCGGCCAUUCAAGUUAGAUGUGAAAGCCCUGGGCUCAACCUAGGAAUUGCAUUUGAUACUGUUUGGCUUGAGUUCGGGAGAGGUGAGUGGAAUUCCCAGUGUAGAGGUGAAAUUCGUAGAUAUUGGGAAGAACACCAGUGGCGAAGGCAGCUCACUGGACCGACACUGACGCUGAGGCGCGAAAGCUGGGGGAGCAAACAGGAUUAGAUACCCCCGUAGUCCCUGUCUCUUAUAC